rnacentral:rRNA from 1 species
CCUACGGGUGGCAGCAGUGAGGAAUAUUGGGCAAUGGGCGAGAGCCUGAACCAGCCAAGUAGCGUGAAGGAUGACUGCCCUAUGGGUUGUAAACUUCUUUUAUAAGGGAAUAAAGUGAGCCACGUGUGGGGUUUUGUAUGUACCAUAUGAAUAAGGAUCGGCUAACUCCGUACCAGCAGCCGCGGUAAUACGGAGGAUCCGAGCGUUAUCCGGAUUUAUUGGGUUUAAAGGGAGCGUAGGUGGGUUGUUAAGUCAGUUGUGAAAGUUUGGGGCUCAACCGGAAAAUUGCAGUUGAAACUGGCAGCCUUGAGUGCAGGAGAGGUAGGCGGAAUUCGUGGUGUAGCGGUGAAAUGCUUAGAUAUCACGAAGAACUCCGAUUGCGAAGGCAGCCUACUGGACUGCCACUGACGCUGAGGCUCGAAAGUGUGGGUAUCAAACAGGAUUAGAUACCCCAGUAGUC